CUUAAGUUUAUUUAGGCUGCUUUAAUGUCUUCUUUCUAAAUAUACUAACAAAAUUUCCAUAUCAUCAUAAGUAUAAAUAGUAGAGUCCCACGUUUGAGGAUAUUGUGCUUAUUACAAAUUCCCCCCCAGUGCAACUCCACUGUAGAGCCAGAAGAUAUAGGAAUGCUAAGAAUUUCUAAGACAAUAGAUACUUCUUCAAAAAUAGAUCAGUGAUAAGAGAAAACCCGGAGCAGUUCUCAUUGUUUUAAUGUAGUACUAUUCAUAAUUCUAAUGACCUCAAGAAGAGUUGCUGUCAAGGACAGACUUGCAAAAUUUUUUUUCAUAGUUUAAAGGAAAAUGUGCAAAUGAUCUUCAGUAAGUCCCAUGUCUGCCUUUUGAUUCUCCAGUAAAAUUUCCUCUUCACCCCUCAUUUCGGCCCAUUUGGAGUGUUGAAGAAGCAGAGAUGGAAUUGCUUUAGCACCGGCUUAGACUUUUUUGCUUUAACAAUAUUCUCAUUUUCCCCCACCCUUUGCAAAGUUCCUUUUUUAUUUAUAUAUUGUUCUUUUGACUUUUGCUAGAAGUGGCACCAAGCCCAGCUACUGAACUCAGAGAUAGCAUGGUGUCGGGAGAGCCUUGGCUCGGGAUUCAGAGACGUGACUUCCGGAGCCCCACGUUUAAUCCCUCUUGCUGCACCAAGUUUUCCUGCGUCAACAC
rnacentral:lncRNA from 1 species